AAGGAUGAGUGGACGUGGGAGCGGAGACAUUCUCUUUCGUCGCUGCGAGUGCGUGCGAGCAAGGAGCGGAUAGCGGAGGGUAAUCCAUCUCAUCUACGUCAAAAGCGCCAAGGGAUAACCCCUAUAGCGCGCGGAUGUUCCUCUCCCUUAGUUCCAGCUCCGCUUGUCCCUUCUUCUCCGUCCAAUCGCAUCGAUGGCGGGUUGUAUCUUCCGGUCGGCGCGAUGGCGGCAAUGGAGUUACGGUCUGCUCGGCGCAUUCCAGCGCUCGCAUCCUCAAGCCCAACCGGCGACCGCGGCUGGGUCGGCGAGCCUCGACUUAUGCGAAUGAAGAUGAGGAGGUGGAAGAGGAGGAGAGCGAAGAGGAGGAAUACGAGAUAAUUGAUAAUGACGUUGCAGAGUUUGAUGAGUUUGGCAGCAACCAAUAUUCCACUAAAAAGAGAUCAAAUUUAAAUUCUAAUGCCAUAAAUGAUGCUAAAGGAAUCAAGAUAUCACCUCAAAAAGGUUGCGAAGCUGGAUUAGUACAAGUGAGACAAACCAAGAAUCUGGCUCCUGGCUCCAUUAAAUCUAAGUCUGGUAAAACCAUUCAGCAGAAAACAAAUUUUCAAGGCUAUAAUUCUUCCAUGGAAAGGUACUCAAAAAAGAGUCCUGUUGAUUGUGAUAGUGAGGACCAGCAAAAUUGUGGAAGUUUCACCAAGAGCAAGUUCCAGAAAUUAAUAGAAGAACUAGACUUUGAUGAGAGAUGGUUUCCUUUGAUUGAUUACUUGAGCACAUUUGGACUAAAGGAAUCUCACUUCAUUUCCAUUUAUGAGAGACAUGUGGCAUCCCUUCAGAUGAACCUAACUUCUGCAAAGGAAAGAUUAACCUUUUUGAUUGCGGUCGGCGUCAAACGCAGAGAUAUUAAAAGGAUACUUGUAAGGCAGCCCCAAAUUUUGGAAUACACAGUUGAAAACAAUAUGAUGUCCCAUGUUCGUUUCUUACUAAGUAUAGGAGUUCCAAGUUCUCGAAUCGGACAGAUUAUUACUGCCACUCCAUCUCUGUUUUCUUACAGCAUUGAACAUUCUCUCAAACCUAAAAUCAGAUACUUGGUUGAAGAAGUUGGAAUUAAGGGAUCAGAAGUUAGUAAAGUUGUACAACUCAGCCCUCAUGUUCUAGUCCAGAGAGUUGAUAAUUCAUGGACUACCCGUUCAAAUUUUCUGUCAAAAGAAUUAGGAGCUCCAAGGGAUAACAUAGUAAAGAUGGUCACAAAGCAUCCCCAGCUCCUACAUUAUAGCAUAGAAGAUGGAAUAUUGCCUAGAAUCAACUUUCUAAGGAGCAUAGGGAUGUGCAAUUCUGAUAUUGUGAAAGUAUUAACAAGUCUCGCACAAGUUCUGUCCUUAUCACUGGAGGAAAACUUGAAACCCAAGUAUCUUUAUCUUGUAAAUGAGCUUCACAAUGAGGUGCAGUCCUUGAUCAAAUAUCCAACGUACUUGAGCUUGUCUUUGAAUCAGAGGAUUCGACCUCGGCAUCGCUUUCUGGUUUCACUUAAAAAAGCUCCAAAGGGGCCAUUUCCUCUGAGCACAUUUGUUCCUACUGAUGAAUGUUUUUGUCAACAAUGGGCUGGCACAAGCUUAGACAUAUAUUUGGCUUUCAGGCAGAGUUUACUGCUCUCAGACUUGGCAAACAAGUAUGACAGAAGAAGAUGAUCCACAGCCUCUUUAAGAUAUAUUAUUUGAUCUGGUUAAGCACAUAUACAAUAAGAAGCUGAGAUCAAUUGUUGCCAUUUUUGACGUUCAAUGCCAGUUUGAGGAUCAAAUUUUGACAGAAGCAGAUAUCUGCAAUUUUGAAUGGAAAGGGGGAAGCUCAGCUCUGCUAUGCGAAUUUUACCCAAAUAUGGUUCGAUCAAUUUCUACCUUGCUAUCUAUCUCUUGAAAUGAAAUUCAGAAGGAAUAUUUUUAUUUCUCUGCUAGUUAAUUGUGCUAUUUAGAUGAAAUGUCCUCUGAAAGAAGUGAGGUAAAUUUUUUAGAGGUGAUAAUUUUUGUUUAUGUAGAGCUUUAAAGGCCAUUUUUGAAAAAAGGUUGUGAAAAUUAGAUCA